CCACAUCGACUGUUUAGUUUCAUUUUGUUAUGUUUAUAUAAUACAGCUACUCACCCUUACUUCGUCCCUUCGGGGACAUCCGAUAAAAUUGGAACGAUACAGAGAAGAUUAGCAUGGCCCCUGCGCAAGGAUGACACGCACAAAUCGAGAAAUGGUACGUGGUGUUCAUCAUACGAGAAAUGGUCCAAAUUUUUUUUGACUUUUUUUUUCAAUCUUCUCCGUUAGGGUUUCGUUUUCCACUGUUAUUUUGCGUUUAGGUUUUGUUCGUUUUGUCUUUGAUUUUGCGUUUAGGGUUUUGUUUUCCUUUCAAUGCAGGUACGUGGUGUUCAUCAUACUUGAACCAAAUUUAUACACCAUUGAUGCCUGAAGUAAUAUGCAAGAAAACAUGUUCCGUGCAAGGAAUUGUCAGACCACCCAUUCGAUGAUCAUAUCCGAAUUCUUCCUCUGCUUCACUCAACAAGUUUUGAAAUGAAGGUUGGUUCAAGUAUGAUGUGGGGAUCACAAACCUCUUCAUUUCCUCACCAACGUACACCGCAAGAUACCCCUUUGGCACAUUUGUCACUUUUGAUGAUGUUUGGCUAUUGCUAAAUGAAGCCCGUCUAAUAGCUGCCGGUAAACGGAAACCCAUUUCAAAUGUUUUGAAGAACAACUCUCAAACUUUAAGGAGAAAAAAGACUGCUUGGAGCUUAUAGUAAAGGGUUGCCGCUAAUUAAGCGCACAGGAAGACCUUGCAAUUGUCGUUUCUACCAUAUUUGAUAAACAUCAAAGGAAAAAUGCCAACAUACACAGUUAUUGGUGUGUUUCUUUAUUCAUUUUCAUUUCACUUCUACUGACCUGCCCCCAAUGUCCUAUCACGUGCCAAACAAAUUGAUGAUUGGAUCUCAUGGAAGUUGGAAUAGUUGGAGGAACUUCCUUAUUUAUUGUAGCAUAAAUAUUUCUCUUCCUAGAUGAAGAAAGAUCAAGACAUGUAAACAUGCUGUGAGCUCAGAUACAAGAUAGCUUAUCAGCUAUUAGAGUUUGGGUGAAUGUUUUAUUAGGUUAAAGAAAUUUGCAGGAACAUUCGAGCUAGAUUUUGCUUACAGCGUGUAGUAUCCUUGUGUCAUCAUUAUAUUAUUAAACUAAGAUAAAUUAGAAGCAGAUAGGAGCCCAUUGAGUUUUUGAAUAUAUUGUGUCAUUAUCAUUAGGAAUAAAUAAUAACAAAUAAUCUCUUUCUGAAUCUGUCAUUCAGACGGACAAUUCUAACCCGUUCCAAGGAUAGGAAAAGGAAAAAAGAAUUUCUAUUCAAAUCUAAAUGAUAUGACUAUUUUACAAAACUUCUAUGCUAAUCUAUGUCAGUCCCCUUUAGUGUAUAAUUUAUAGGCUAUUGAACUGAGAAGUAAUGUCCAAGAAAACAUCUUCUCUGCAAGGAAUUGUGAGGCCGCCCAUUGGAUGAUCAUAUCCGAAUUCUUCCUCUGCUUGACUCAACAGGUUUUGAAAUAAAGGUUGGUUCAAGUAUGAAAUGGGGAUGACAAACCGCUUCAUUUCCUCUCCGACGUACACCGCAACAUAGCCCUUGGGCACGUUUGAUACCUUUGACGAUGUUUUGAUACUGCGAUGUGAAGACCAUCUAAUAGCAGCAGGAUGACGCUAUAUUUAUAGUUUCAAAGAGUUUCAAUGAUGGGGUCCAUUAGAUGAGAGAUCACAUGGUGUUGUCUUAGAUGCCUGUGUCAAGGGUAAAUAAGUUCAAUAAGAGUGCAAACCCCACCUUCUGAAUGAAAGGCUAAUUUUAAACCAACUGCUUGUACUAUGCCUACUAAUUUCAUUUCAGACAUGCAUCAGACAUGGCACAUGUUCUCUUCAUAUUGACAAGAAAGCUUAAUGUUGAUAUAUGACCUUAAGAAUGAUGAGAAAAUUUUCAGUCAUACACUCUAUAUGAGUUGUACAUAUUUUGUUCACAAGAAAUCACAUGAAACUGUCUAGAGGUCUUUCUUAAGACUUGGCAGAGUUAAAGUUAUGUCCCACAUUACAAAGCUGUUUCAACUUUGAAAAUGAAAGUGCUAUGCACAGAUUAUGGCAGGACCCGAAGAACUGGCAGUGGGAGUCUUUCUACAAAUGGGUUAAGAAGUGGAUCUAUUGUCCGUUGAAGCGAGAAGUAAUAUGCAAGAAAACAUCUUCCGUGCAAGGAAUUGUGAGGCCACCCAUUGGAUGAUCAUAUCCGAACUCUUCCUCUGCUUGACUCAACAAAUUUUGAAAUGAAGAUUGGUUCAAGUAUGACAUGGGGAUAACAAACCGCUUCAUUUGCUCUCCGACGUACACUGCAAGAUAGCCCUUUGGCACAUUCAAUGCUUUUGAGGAUGUUUGCCUACUGCUAAAUGAAGCACGUCUAAUAGUUUCCGGUAAACGGAAGCCCAUUUCAAAUGUUUUGAAGAAAAAGCUGGAUGUUAGAUGUAAGAAAUAUGUAUCUAAGUUCGAUUGCUUGAAUUAUUUGUGAUUGUUGUGAAGGACACACUACAUUUAUAGUUUCCAA